AUGAACGCUGGCGGCGUGCCUAAUACAUGCAAGUCGAGCGAACGGACGAGAAGCUUGCUUUUCUGAUGUUAGCGGCGGACGGGUGAGUAACACGUGGAUAACCUACCUAUAAGACUGGGAUAACUUCGGGAAACCGGAGCUAAUACCGGAUAAUAUUUUGAACCGCAUGGUUCAAAAGUGAAAGACGGUCUUGCUGUCACUUAUAGAUGGAUCCGCGCUGCAUUAGCUAGUUGGUAAGGUAACGGCUUACCAAGGCAACGAUGCAUAGCCGACCUGAGAGGGUGAUCGGCCACACUGGAACUGAGACACGGUCCAGACUCCUACGGGAGGCAGCAGUAGGGAAUCUUCCGCAAUGGGCGAAAGCCUGACAGAGCAACGCCGCGUGAGUGAUGAAGGUCUUCGGAUCGUAAAACUCUGUUAUUAGGGAAGAACAUAUGUGUAAGUAACUGUGCACAUCUUGACGGUACCUAAUCAGAAAGCCACGGCUAACUACGUG
rnacentral:rRNA from 1 species